UAGGGAAUUUUCGUCAAUGGGCGCAAGCCUGAACGAGCAAUGCCGCGUGAACGAGGAAGGUCUUCGGAUCGUAAAGUUCUGUUGAAGGGGAAAAAGAGCGGAGAGAGGAAAUGGUCUCCAAUUGAUAUUACCCUUCGAGGAAGUCACGGCUAACUACGUGCC
rnacentral:rRNA from 1 species